rnacentral:rRNA from 1 species
AUUGAACGCUGGCGGCAGGCCUAACACAUGCAAGUCGAACGAGUGGCGGACGGGUGAGUAAUGUCUGGGAAACUGCCUGAUGGAGGGGGAUAACUACUGGAAACGGUAGCUAAUACCGCAUACCAUCAGAUGUGCCCAGAUGGGAUUAGCUAGUAGGUGGGGUAAAGGCUCACCUAGGCGACGAUCCCUAGCUGGGCUGAGAGGAUGACCAUCCACACUGGAACUGAGACACGGUCCAGACUCCUACGGGAGGCAGCAGUGGGGAAUAUUGCACAAUGGGCGAAAGCCUGAUGCAGCCAUGCCGCGUGUGUGAAGAAGGCCUUCGGGUUGUAAAGCACUUUCAGCGGGGAGGCGUUACCCGCAGAAGAAGCACCGGCUAACUCCGUGCCAGCCGCCGCGGUAAUAC